CAUGGGGUAGAUGUGAUUGCUUGUGCUAUUGCCUUAGAAAGAAGCAUUUUAGUUCUCAUGCUGCUGGGAAUGCUUUAACAUAUGUGAGGGAGGCUAAUUCAGGCCACCCUAUUAAAUUAGUCAUGAGCUCAUGUUGAAAUAAUGAGGAUGAGCAAAACUGGAGACAAUGCAAAUUAAGAGGAAAUCCUCUCACUGGAUGGAGACAUACCCAGCACUAAGAGGAUGGAGGAGGCACUGAAGUUUUUGGUUCAGCUUGCUUUGAGGACCAUCAACACCAAACUUGCAGUAUCCAAUGUGAAGAGGAGAAGGCCAUAGUGGU